rnacentral:rRNA from 1 species
UACGUAGGGUGCGAGCGUUACUCGGAAUUACUGGGCGUAAAGCGUGCGCAGGCGGUUCUCCAAGUCCGUUGUGAAAGCCCCGGGCUCAACCUGGGAAUGGCAGUGGAAACUAGGGGACUGGAAUCUGGCAGAGGGGGGUGGAAUGCCGCGUGUAGCAGUGAAAUGCGUAGAGAUGCGGCGGAACACCGAUGGCGAAGGCAGCCCCCUGGGCUGAGAUUGACGCUCAGGCACGAAAGCGUGGGGAGCAAACAGG